rnacentral:rRNA from 1 species
CUGGGAAACUGCGUGAUGGAGGGGGAUAACUACUGGAAACGGUAGCUAAUACCGCAUAAUGUCGCAAGACCAAAGAGGGGGACCUUCGGGCCUCUUGCCAUCAGAUGUGCCCAGAUGGGAUUAGCUAGUAGGUGGGGUAACGGCUCACCUAGGCGACGAUCCCUAGCUGGUCUGAGAGGAUGACCAGCCACACUGGAACUGAGACACGGUCCAGACUCCUACGGGAGGCAGCAGUGGGGAAUAUUGCACAAUGGGCGCAAGCCUGAUGCAGCCAUGCCGCGUGUAUGAAGAAGGCCUUCGGGUUGUAAAGUACUUUCAGCGAGGAGGAAGGCGUUAGGGUUAAUAACCCUAGCGAUUGACGUUACUCGCAGAAGAAGCACCGGCUAACUCCGUGCCAGCAGCCGCGGUAAUACGGAGGGUGCAAGCGUUAAUCGGAAUUACUGGGCGUAAAGCGCACGCAGGCGGUCUGUCAAGUCGGAUGUGAAAUCCCCGGGCUCAACCUGGGAACUGCAUUCGAAACUGGCAGGCUAGAGUCUUGUAGAGGGGGGUAGAAUUCCAGGUGUAGCGGUGAAAUGCGUAGAGAUCUGGAGGAAUACCGGUGGCGAAGGCGGCCCCCUGGACAAAGACUGACGCUC